UCCAGAAAUGGAUUGUUGCCUUUGGGAACAUUGAGACAGGUGUUGCAUGGUUGUGUUCAGUUCUUGUCUUGAGAUGUUGGGUUAAGUCCCGUAACGAGCGCAACCCUUUUCCUUAGUUACCAGCAGGUAAUGGUGGGCACUUUAAGGAGACUGCCGGUUACAAACCGGAGGAAGGUGGGGAUGACGUCAAGUCAUCAUGGCCCUUAGGCCCUGGGUUACACACGUGUUACAAUGGUCGGUACAAAGGGUUGCCAAGCCGCGAGGUGGAGCUAAUCCCAAAAACCCGUUUCAAUUCGGGAUGG
rnacentral:rRNA from 1 species